UAUCUUGCUCUUUUCCCUUUGUCUCUAUUUACUAUUUUUAGGUUUUUGAUUUUAUCUUAUUUUGUUUGCUUUGUUCCUCAUUAUUGUGUGUUUACGAUAAAAUGGGAUUAGUUUUAAUUUAGUUGCAUGUCUAUCCAGUUAGUCGCAUUGCUAGUUUAGCUUAAUCAACCCUAGUUAACUUAGUAAUUUACUUAGGUUUAAAUAAUAAAUUAUUUCUGUUUGGUUUGUUUAACAUUGUUUCCUGCCUUAAUUAGUUGCUCAGUGAUGUUCUUAACACACAUUUGGAAAUUGUAGGGGUGAAAGGGUAGUAGAAAGAACUUAAAGGGGUUAAUUUGGAAGUAAAAAUGGAUGAAUUUUUAGGUAAAAAAUAUCAGAAGUUUCUAGUAUUGAACAACUAUCUCUUUUUUUGUUGUUGAAAUAUGCUGAAAAUUGGUAAAGAGGAUAGUUGUGCCAGGUCUGCUGAAAAAGAUGAUAGACUAUCCUUUUUAUAGCUGGGGCAUCUUUGAAUUUUAGAAUAGAAUAUUCCCUAUUAUUCUUAUCCUUAUGCAUUUUUCUUAUACUAUGUAAAAAGGAACCUCACUCACACUCACACAGACGUUAAUAUCGCUACAGAUUUACUCACAAAAAGGAAAGAAUUCACUCUUGAUUUUUCUUUCUGCUUAUAUACUAAUUUCUUCCCAAAGGAUAGGGAAUUCCAUUCAAAUACCAGAAAUGGAGACUUAGGAUUCAUCUUGGUUUCCUGUUUGUUUUCCUAUCAUUGGGGGUUUCGGGAUUUCUAGGGUUUGAGGUUUUUAAGCUAUUGUCUGUUACUCUUUGUUGUUGUAUUCUUGCUACUGUUUCUUCUAGUUUAUUCAGAGAUUCAUCUUCUUCUUCUCUUUAUUUGUUGCUAGUAAGGAGUUUGUGAGUGCUUGGGCACAAGGCUCAGAUUUACAAGUGUAGCGACUGGUUGGUUAGCCUUUUGUAAAUGAUAGGCAGCUUCAAGAACAUUGCAAAGUUUUUGCUAGUUGAUCACAGGCAAACUCAAAAUUAAUUUGAUUUCGGCCUAUGCAACUAAAUUUCUUAAUUUAGUUCAAGGCUUGUAAUUUUUUAUAAAAAUGUAAUUAAGCUAUUUAUUACUAGUAGUGUAUAAAAAUGUAUUCAUACUUAGUUUAAUCCAUCACUGUUUCAGUUCUUUUUCUUUA